rnacentral:rRNA from 1 species
UGGGGAAUAUUGGACAAUGGGCGGAAGCCUGAUCCAGCAAUACCGCGUGUGUGAAGAAGGCCUGAGGGUUGUAAAGCACUUUCAAUGGGAAGGAAUACCUGCAAGCGAAUACCUUGCAGACUGACAUUACCCAUACAAGAAGCACCGGCUAACUCCGUGCCAGCAGCCGCGGUAAUACGGAGGGUGCAAGCGUUAAUCGGAAUUACUGGGCGUAAAGCGUGCGUAGGCGGCCUGUUAAGCCAGAUGUGAAAGCCCCGGGCUUAACCUGGGAACUGCAUUUGGGACUGGCAGGCUAGAGUUUACUAGAGGGGAGUGGAAUUUCAGGUGUAGCGGUGAAAUGCGUAGAGAUCUGAAGGAACACCAGUGGCGAAGGCGGCUCCCUGGAGUAAAACUGACGCUG